CGCGAACGUUGGCGGCGUGCCUAACACAUGCAAGUCGUGGGGCAGCAGGCUACUGUCUUUUGGCAGUAGUGCUGGCGACCGGCAAACGGGUGAGUAACACGUAGCUUACCUACCCAUAGGUUGGGGAUAACAUCCCGAAAGGGGUGCUAAUACCCAAUAAUGAGGAGACUCCAAAGCCCUUAUGGGCGCCUAUGGAUGGGGCUGCGUCCCAUCAGCUAGUUGGUGAGGUAAUGGCUCACCAAGGCUACGACGGGUAACCGGUCUGAGAGGAUGACUGGUCACAGUGGGACUGAGACACGGCCCGCACCCCUACGGGGGGCAGCAGUGGGGAAUAUUGGGCAAUGGCCGAAAGGCUGACCCAGCAACGCCGCGUGGUGGAUGAAGCCCUUCGGGGUGUAAACACCUUUUCUGGGGGAAGAUAAUGACGGUACCCCAGGAAUAAGGGACGGCUAACUACGUGCCAGCAGCCGCGGUAAUACGUAG
rnacentral:rRNA from 1 species